rfam:Stegodyphus mimosarum contig23835, whole genome shotgun sequence.
GCCUUCGUGGUGUAACUGAAAGCAUACUAGACGUGUAUUCGAUAGGUCCAGGGUUCGAGUCCCGGCGAAGGCA